CUAAGUUUGAUGGCGACCGGCGCACGGGUGAGUAACACGUAUCCAACCUGCCGAUGACUCGGGGAUAGCCUUUCGAAAGAAAGAUUAAUACCCGAUGGCAUAGUUCUUCCGCAUGGUGGAACUAUUAAAGAAUUUCGGUCAUCGAUGGGGAUGCGUUCCAUUAGGUUGUUGGCGGGGUAACGGCCCACCUAGUCUUCGAUGGAUAGGGGUUCUGAGAGGAAGGUCCCCCACAUUGGAACUGAGACACGGUCCAAACUCCUACGGGAGGCAGCAUG
rnacentral:rRNA from 1 species